AUUGAACGCUGGCGGCAGGCCUAACACAUGCAAGUCGGGCGAGCGGAGGACGGGUGAGUAAUGUAUGGGGACUGCCUGAUGGAGGGGGAUAACUACUGGAAACGGUCGCUAAUACCGCAUACUAACAAAUAACCCAUAUGGGUUUAGCUUGUAGGGAAGGUAAGGGCAUACCUAGGCGACGAUCCCUAGCUGGUCUGCGAGGAGGAUCAGCCACACUGGGACUGAGACACGGCCCAGACUCGUACGGAGGCAGCAGUGGGGAAUAUUGCACAAUGGGCGCAAGCCUGAUGCAGCAAUGCCGCGUGUAUGAAGAAGGCCGUAGGGUUGUAAAGUACUUUCAGUCGGGAGGCGUUACCGGCAGAAGAAGCACCGGCUAACUCCGUGCCAGCAGCCGCGGUAAUUC
rnacentral:rRNA from 1 species